CCUACGGGUGGCAGCAGUGGGGAAUAUUGCACAAUGGGGGAAACCCUGAUGCAGCGACGCCGCGUGAGUGAAGAAGUAAUUCGUUACGUAAAGCUCUAUCAGCAGGGAAGAAACACUGACCUUACGGUCAGCAGACGGUACCUGAGUAAGAAGCCCCGGCUAACUACGUGCCAGCAGCCGCGGUAAUACGUAGGGGGCAAGCGUUAUCCGGAUUUACUGGGUGUAAAGGGAGCGUAGACGGUGCGCCAAGUAGGGAGUGAAAUGCCGCAGCUUAACUACGGAACUGUUUUGGAAACUGGCGAACUAGAGUGCGGGAGGGGUAAGCGGAAUUCCUAGUGUACCGGUGAAAUGCGUAGAUAUUAGGAGGAACACCGGUGGCGAAGGCGGCUUACUGGACCGUAACUGACGUUGAGGCUCGAAAGCGUGGGGAGCAAACAGGAUUAGAUACCCCAGUAGUC
rnacentral:rRNA from 1 species